AGAUAUGGGGAUUGGCUCCCCGGGUGCACAUGUUUGAGAGGAUGGGCUGUUUGAGAGGACGGCUCGUCGGGGGUUUAGGUGACGCCACUGACUAAUUUCCACGUGAUGUGAUUAUUUGAAGGUGAUAUUAGUUGUGGGUGCUGAUCGCCCGGGUCCAUCUAGUUCUCCUUCCGGACAGAAUCAGAGCUAGAGCCUAGUUCUCCAUCACCGUGAGUAAUAAUAAAUAAUGCAUAUCAACAUUGCAUUUGCAUAACAUUAUAUUUACCAUAUAUUAUAAGUAUUUUCUCAUACAUUGUAUAUAACUGUGCAUUGGGAUGAAAUGGAUGGUUUACGUUGAAUGACUUGUUUGAUUAAUUGUGCUGUGUAUAUACUGUGGUCUGUUUGUGUGGAAUUGGGAUGAAGUGGGUCACUAUGGGUUUGUGAGGACGGUCGAUAAAUAUGGAUCCUGAUGAAAUUAUGAAAUUGGACCAUCGGCCGGGUAAAUGGGAGAUCGGCGCCCCCGUGUGCACCUGAUUAACUGAUGAAAUGAUGUUGAUGAUAUGGAAAAGAAAAGAGGGAAUGUAAAAUAAAAUAUUGAGAGGACUGGUCAAGUGAGGAUUAGACCGGUCGGCCAGAUAUGGGGAUUGGCUCCCCGGGUGCACAUGUUUGAGAGGAUGGGCUGUUUGAGAGGACGGCUCGUCGGGGGUUUAGGUGACGCCACUGACUAAUUUCCACGUGAUGUGAUUAUUUGAAGGUGAUGUGAUGUCAUAUGAUUGACUGUUGUGUGUUCAUUCAGUAUACUAGGGUGCAUUUUGCUUAACUGUAUGUGGUGUGUAUUAUUUAUUAUUAUUCACUG
rnacentral:lncRNA from 1 species